rnacentral:misc_RNA from 1 species
GAUGAAGAACGUAGCGAAAUGCGAUACGUAAUGUGAAUUGCAGAAUUCAGUGAAUCAUCGAAUCUUUGAACGCAUAUUGCGCUCUUUGGUAUUCCGAAGAGCAUGCUUGUUUGAGUAUCAGUAAACACCUCAAAGCUUUUGGAUUUUUUAAUCGAAAAGCUUUGGACUUGAGCAAUCCCAACACCAAUCUUUUUGAGAUCGGUGGCGGGUUGCUUGAAAUGCAGGUGCAGCUGGACAUUCUCCUGAGCUAAAAGCAUAUUCAUUUAGUCCCGUCAAACGGAUUAUUACUUUUGCUGCAGCUAACAUAAAGGGAGUUUGACCGUAUUGGCUGACUGAUGCAGGAUUUCACAAGGGUCGGCAACGAUUCUUGUUAAACUCGAUCUCAAAUCAAGUAAGACUACCCGCUGAACUUAAGCAUAUCAAAAGCGGAGGA